GGCUCAACCUGGGAGGUGCGCUCGAGACUGGUCCGCUAGAGUNCGGGAGAGGAGAGUGGAAUUCCCAGUGUAGAGGUGAAAUUCGUAGAUAUUGGGAAGAACACCGGUGGCGAAGGCGGCUCUCUGGACCGAGACUGACGCUGAGGCGCGACAGCGUGGGGAGCAAACAGGAUCAGAUACCCUGGUAGUCCACGCUGUAAACGAUGUGUGCUAGACGUCGGGGAGCAUAGCUCUUCGGUGUCGCAGCAAACGCUUUAAGCACACCGCCUGGGGAGUACGGCCGCAAGGUUAAAACUCAAAGGAAUUGACGGGGGCCCGCACAAGCGGUGGAGCAUGUGGUUUAAUUCGACGCAACGCGCAGAACCUUACC
rnacentral:rRNA from 1 species